rnacentral:rRNA from 1 species
UACAGAGGGUGCAAGCGUUGCUCGGAAUUAUUGGGCGUAAAGGGCAGGUAGGUGGUCUCAUUUGUCUGGGGUGAAAGCCUUGAGCUUAACUCAAGAAGUGCCCCGGAAACGGUGAGACUGGAGUAUUGGAGAGGGUCGCGGAAUUCCCGGUGUAGCGGUGAAAUGCGUAGAGAUCGGGAGGAACACCAGAGGCGAAGGCGGCGACCUGGGCAAUUACUGACACUCAACUGCGAAAGCGUGGGGAGCAAACAGG